rnacentral:rRNA from 1 species
GACGAACGCUGGCGGCGUGCUUAACACAUGCAAGUCGAACGGAAAGGCCCUGCGUUUGUGGGGUGCUCGAUUGGCGAACGGGUGAGUAUCACGCGAGUAUCCUGCCCUUGACUUUGUGAUAACUUCUGGAAACUGGGGCUAUUAUCGGAUAGGAUCUCUUGCUCCAUGGUGGGGGUUGGAAAGUUUCGGCGUUUGUGGAUGGACUCGCGGCUUAUCAGCUAGUUGGUGGGGUAGUUGCUUACCAGGGCUGUCACGGGUAGGCGGCCUGAGAGGGUAGACGGCGACAAUGGGCCUGAGGGAGGGCGCAGAAUCGUACGGGACGCAAUAGGGGGGAAUAUUGCACAAUGGGCGGACGCCUGAUGCGGCAGCGCCGCGUUCGGGAUGACGGCCUUUGAGUUGUAAACCGCUUUCGACUGUAACGAAGCGUGAGUGACGGUAAUGGGUAAAGAAGCACCGGCUAACUACGUG